ensembl:lncRNA
CAGGCAGUCAAAUAUGAAGCUUGUGGGUGAAAGAAAGGCCAGGCUCCAUAACAUGAGAGAAUAUACGGUUCUGGUUCACUGCUACUUUACUGCAUUCAUUCAUUUAUCAUGAGUAACUGCUUUUACAGGUGUAAACAAUUACAACCGUGGGAGGAAGGCAGGAUGAAGAGAUUAAAAAAAAAUAAUCUCUACCUCUAUCUCAAACAUUUCAUAUCUUCAGGGCUUUAAAUAAAAAUAUACAGAAAGUCCAACCGGCACAGCACAGGAAACUUCAGCAAAAAUGGAAUAAAUGGAACUCAAGCGAAAUACAACAUGCAUGAUAUUUUCAAAGCCUGGCUUGAUAAGCAUAAAUGUAGAAUUAAAGUGUGUGUGGGGGGGCGGGGGGGGGGGGGGCACAUUAUUUAUCAUAUACCGCACAAGUGCAUCCAUAACCAGCAGGGUGUAAAAGCACUCGUGUAAUUUUAAUCAUUGUUAAUGCAAGUGCACUGAAUGUUUCAUUUAAAACCCUGUUUAGGCCUUUCAAGAACUCCAUCUAAUGCAUUCUGCUCACACCUAUCCAUGCCAGCACUGCAAUUAAGACUUAAUGAAAGUAAUUACUCCUUGAGAUGACUAAUUAAAGAGGCACAUUUACAGGUGGUGGAGGAUUGGGGGGGAGGGGAUGGGGGGUUUAAAAAAAAAAAAAAAAUCAACAUUCUGUAUAAUUUAAGACUCAUUUAGCUUUAGGACAUUUCCACCUGUAAUGCAUUACAGAAAAUGGCCUUUAAGAAAAAAAUUUGCUCUUAAAUGAUAGAAAUGUAUAGUUGGUGGAGUACAGUGCGUGGUUUUUGUUUCUCCAUCACCCAGUAGGAAUCCAAUCCAGUGCACUCCUUUACCUGUUUGAGCUGCGUCAUCAAGCUGCUCAGUGUCCAUGGACAUGCUUGGGUCAAAAUGGUCAGGAGCCUGCUGCUGCUGUUGUCUCUUCAGUGUGUCAUUAGACAGCUGAACUUUAUUUAUGCGAAGGGCUGCUCGGUUAUCCCGAGCCAUUUGCUAGAAGGCAGAGGGGAAAAAAUAAAAACCAACUACGAUUUCUUUGAAGGUUCACAAACGUCAAUCGGAUCCAAGUUCUAAAACGAUGGCAGAUCUUACCACGUACGGAGCUCGUUCCUGAGAGCUAGCCUUUCUCCACAGUUUUGCAAUCUGCUUUACCCUAGUCGACCAAUCUAUGGAUAAAAUUCAAACGAUCAGUCUCUGGACAUGAUCUCCAUCCAGUCAGACAUUGUCGCACGACAGGUACGCACCUGGAAAUUCUUCUCUCAGGUUGGGAAAAUUGACGUUCGUGUAGAGCACAGGUGCCACAGUGGCCAUCUCUCCGAGGGUCUCCUCUUUCUCCCACUUCAGUGUACUCCUCUGGGCGUUGGACAUGACAUCUGUUUCUGGCUCUGCAGGAGGAGCCGGACCAGGCAUAGGGACAGCAGCACUCCAGGGACCCACCAUAUCACUCCCCAUCUGGCUGAACUUCUUCUCCCUGUAGAGAUGCAACUCAAACGGUCACGUUAACUUUCCAAAGAAAGACAAACUCCUGAAUUAUCUUUUACUACUCGAUGACCAGACUCCACUGCAGCGUUUCUCAAAAGAUAAAAGAUACGCCGGUUCUACGUAAGGAAUAACCCUCAUCUGUUAUAGAAAAUUCAUCCACAUCAUCAGAUUUGAGAAUUCAACAGCGGUGUGCUGUAACGUGUCUUACCUCAUGCUUUCGGGAAAAGGCAUCCGGUGAAUGGGAGAGAAAGAGCUAGAAAUGCCAGCUCCGGACAUCAUGGGAUUUGUGGGAAAGACGGGGUUUGGACCCAUCAUACCAUUCAUAACAGGCAUGCGAGGGAACAUCGCAUUAUCACCUGAAACUGAAACCAAGAUGAUUUAGUUGCUUCAACAAAUCAUAGCGAAGCGUGUAGUAAUAGUUUUUCCGUCUAUUCAUGGGCACACCGAGCAGAGAUGAAAAGAUACCUGGUCCUUGUUGUGGCACGGUCAUGACUGGCACAUUAGGGAUGGUGUUGGGCGACUGUGCUAGUUGAGAUGACUGAUUGGUGCUUGGGCUCAACACUGCUGUAAACAAGUCUUCCACAUCUUUCCCUUCUAGUUCUAAAUAAAGACAGAGGGUCUAGUUAACAUUCCAGUCCACCAACAUGCAUACCAUAGUAUGUACAAUAAAGAUAACAAUACAUGACAGCUAACCCUUUGCAACAAAUGUAUAAAUAGCAUUAAAAGCAAUUGAAAGAAAAAGACAUGUCGGAUUAGUGACACUUCUGGGGGUCUUACUAAGGUAAGACACUAAGUUCCUAGCACAGGCACAGCCUACAUACAUUGUACAUAUGUCAUGUGACCCAGUAAUGCUCAGGCGCUAAUAAAAUAGGACAAAACAAUCAGUUUGCAUUAAAAUGCGCUGUGGAGUAAGUGUAGAUUUUUUUAUUUUUUUGCAUUAUGAGCAUGCGUGCAUCGUGAAGACACGGCCUGGUUAGAUUGCCCCAGUAUUACUAUAGUACAAUGGUAAUUAGACAUACAUACCUGGAAUCUGGAGCUUGCUGAGAAUAGCCCCUAAAAAUCAAACACAAACAUCAGAUUACAUGGAAAUUUGUUCAAACAC